UUCUGAUGCUUCCUCAUCAGUCUCUGUGACUUCUACACCCUCUCUGAGAACCUCAGUGGCUCCAAUCUCCUUCUCCUCCUCUGCAGUCUCUGGCCCUGCCCUGUCCCUUCACUCUUAACUUCACCAUCACAACUUGCGCUACAUGGAGGACAUGCAGCCUCUGGGCUCAGAGAAGUUCAACAAAAUAGAGAAGGUCUUGCAGUGCCUUCUCAGACCCUUGUUCAGGAACACCAGUGU